GAGAGAAGCAGGUAAAAGAGAAGCAGAAAAAUGUGAGCUGUUAGGGUUGAGAUUGUCAACAAAGCGAUGAAGGGACUUGCCUGGAGGAGAUUGCUUACGCUCAGAAAGAGAAGGAUCGAAGUAACCAAGCUGAAUACUACGGUCAUGGAAGAUAAUGUCAUCCUCAGUUAAGAAAAGACGCUCAUCCAAUGAACCAGGUGCUUUCGUGUUAGAGAGAGAGAGGUUCGUUUGGGCUUGUUGUUGUUGAAUCCAAUUCGUCAUAUUUCCAAGCUUCAAAGGAGGACGAUGAACGGCAACAUUUUUGCCAAGUGUUUGUCUGGCA